rnacentral:tRNA from 1 species
GGGGAUUUAGCUCAGUGGCAUAAGCGCCUGCCUUGCAAGCAGGCAGUGGUGGUGAGUUCAAUCCCCG